CUGAACGAAACGAAGCGCUGAGAGUCUGCGAAAAUCGUUUAAAUAGUCCAUCAACGUCGCUACCUGGCGGCCAGACAUCGAACGAGGAAAAGUCUGGCCGGAAGCCAGUGGUCCCGGACGUUGCAAAAGGGAGGUUAGGUCGGGCCGAACAAACGAUAAAAGAAGUCAUCUUUGUCGCCAUUUUUGUUCUUCGAUCUCGGUACCGAAAGUGUUCCGCUAGCAAAGCUCUGACGUAAAAUUUAUUAAAUCUAUCUUCGAAAAAUGACAUUGUAAUUUUGACGAUUGCAGUGUAAACAUGUUAAGUUUCGCGGAAGUAUAUCAUUAUAAAUUAUGAAUACAUCUGUAGGAAAUUAAAUGAAAGAUUAAAAAAUAA